GAGUUUGAUCCUGGCUCAGGAUGAACGCUAGCGGCGGGCCUAAUACAUGAAGUCGAGGGGGCGGCUCAUAGUCGUCACCGGCGGACGGGUGCGUAACGGUAUGCAACCUACCUGUUACUGUGGGAUAACACGGGGAAACUCGUGCUAUACCACAUAGUGUCGUUUUGCUGCAUGGCAAGGCGAUGAAAGCGCAAGCGUAGCAGAUGGGCAUGCGUCCGAUUAGCUAGUUGGUAGGGUAACGGCCUCCAAGGCGACGAUCGGUAGGGGAACUGAGAGGUUGGUCCCCCACACUGGACUGAGACACGGGCCAGACUCCUACGGGAGGCAGCAGUAGGGAAUAUUGGCAAUGGUCGCAAGACUGACCCAGCCACGCCGCGUGCAGGAGGGAGGCGUAUGCGUUGUAAACUGCUUUUGUCGCGGAAGAAAAUAGCGGUGCGCCGCGCUUGACGGUACGCGACGAAUAAGCAUCGGCUAACUCCGUGCCAGCAGCGCGGUAAUACGGAGGAUGCGGGCGUUAUCCGGAUUCAUUGGGUUUAAAGGUGCGUAGGCGGUGUUGCAAGUCAGCGGUAAAAUUCGGCAGCUCAACUGCGGCGUGCCGCUGAUACUGCGGCGCUAGGGUACCUGCAAGGUGGGUGGAUUGGUAGUGUAGCGGUGAAAUGCAUAGAUAUUACCAGGAACACCGAUUGGAAGGCAGCUCACUGGCAGGUAACUGACGCUGAGGCACGAAAGCGUGGGAGCAAACAGGAUUAGAUACCCUGGUAGUCCACGCUGUAAACGAUGUUCAUUGCUGUUCGGCUGUAAGGGCUGAGCGGCUCAGGGAAACCGUUAAGUGACCACCUGGGGAGUACGGCCGCAAGGGUGAAACUCAAAUGAAUU
rnacentral:rRNA from 1 species